AGCGGAAGAAAUAGGCCCAGAGAGCAACAGUGGCGGGUCUGCAGUCACACAGCCAACUUGCGCUUGUGGCAGUGGCAAGGUUGGUGAGUAUCUGAGUCUUCAGGCCACGGCAUUUUCCGCUCGAGUGGAGCCUGGUAAGUGGCCUCUAUUUCUGGUACAUUCUCUGGGAGCCCCCAGUAUUUUCCAGACAGAGGGCACUGAAGACAGGCUUUGUGCUGAGGAUGGGUCACCUGAGGUCCAGCUGCUCCCCCGUACUCCUCCAGGGAAGGGCUGGGACCCCUUCUCCUGCGGCUGCCCCUAAAAGGACAGAUUGUUGCUUUUGUGGGAUGAGGAGAGACAAUGUGGCAUGGUGGUUAAGCACGUGGACUUGGAGCCAGACGGCCUGGGGCUGAAUCCUGGCUCCGCCUCUCACCAACUGUGACCUUGGGCAAGGAAGCUGGUUCAGUGGGGCUGUCGACCACAGGUACCAACCCUGCCCUCCCCUACAGAGUAUGUGACGUAGGCACAGCCAAUGACUGCAUCCCAGUGCUUCGACCAGUCACAGGGUCAAGGGUGCAGUGGCUCACACCUGUAAUCCCAGCACUUUGGAGUCCCAAGCAGGCAGAUCGCCUGAAGUCGGGAGUUUGAGACCAGCCUGGGUGAAACCCCAUCUCUAAUAAAAGUACAAAAAAUUA
rnacentral:lncRNA from 1 species